rnacentral:rRNA from 1 species
CGUUCUGUAAGCCUGCGAAGGUGUGCUGUGAGGCAUGCUGGAGGUAUCAGAAGUGCGAAUGCUGACAUAAGUAACGAUAAAGCGGGUGAAAAGCCCGCUCGCCGGAAGACCAAGGGUUCCUGUCCAACGUUAAUCGGGGCAGGGUGAGUCGACCCCUAAGGCGAGGCCGAAAGGCGUAGUCGAUGGGAAACAGGUUAAUAUUCCUGUACUUGGUGUUACUGCGAAGGGGGGACGGAGAAGGCUAUGUUGGCCGGGCGACGGUUGUCCCGGUUUAAGCGUGUAGGCUGGUUUUCCAGGCAAAUCCGGAAAAUCAAGGCUGAGGCGUGAUGACGAGGCACUACGGUGCUGAAGCAACAAAUGCCCUGCUUCCAGGAAAAGCCUCUAAGCAUCAGGUAACAUCAAAUCGUACCCCAAACCGACACAGGUGGUCAGGUAGAGAAUACCAAGGCGCUUGAGAGAACUCGG